GGACGGGAUAAGUGCUGAAAGCAUCUAAGCAUGAAGCCCCCCUCAAGAUGAGAUUUCCCAACUUCGGUUAUAAGAUCCCUCAAAGAUGAUGAGGUUAAUAGGUUCGAGGUGGAAGCGUAGCGAUACGUGGAGCUGACGAAUACUAAUCGAUCGAAGACUUAAUCAAUUU
rnacentral:rRNA from 1 species